GAUUGUGGCUCAGUGGUAGAGUGCUUACCUAGCACGCGCGAGGCUCUGGGUUCCAUCCUCAGCACCA
rnacentral:tRNA from 1 species